GCCAGUGUGGUAUAGUGGUUUGAAUGUUGGACUGUGACUCUGGUGACCAGGGUUCAAAUCCUGGCUGAGCCA